UAGGGAAUCUUCCACAAUGGACGCAAGUCUGAUGGAGCAACGCCGCGUGAGUGAAGAAGGUUUUCGGACCGUAAAGCUCUGUUGUUGGUGAAGAAGGAUAGAGGUAGUAACUGGCCUUUAUUUGACGGUAAUCAACCAGAAAGUCACGGCUAACUACGUGCCAGCAGCCGCGGUAAUACGUAGGUGGCAAGCGUUGUCCGGAUUUAUUGGGCGUAAAGCGAGCGCAGGCGGAAGAAUAAGUCUGAUGUGAAAGCCCUCGGCUUAACCGAGGAAUUGCAUCGGAAACUGUUUUCUUGAGUGCAGAAGAGGAGAGUAGAACUCCAUGUGUAGCGGUGGAAUGCGUAGAUAUAUGGAAGAAUACCAGUGGCGAAGGCGGCUCUCUGGUCUGCAACUGACGCUGAGGCUCGAAAGCAUGGGUAGCGAACAGGAUUAGAUACCCUGGUAGUCCAUGCCGUAAACGAUGAGUGCUAAGUGUUGGGAGGCUUCCGCCUCUCAGUGCUGCAGCUAACGCAUUAAGCACUCCGCCUGGGGAGUACGACCGCAAGGUUGA
rnacentral:rRNA from 1 species